rnacentral:rRNA from 1 species
AAUAGAUACCCGGGUAGUCCUGGCCCUAAACGAUGUCCACUAGAUUGCGGCGGGUUUGACCCCGUCGCGGUCGAAGCAAAAGUGUUAAGUGGACCGCCUGGGAAGUACGGUCGCAAGGCUAAAACUCAAAGGAAUUGACGGGGGGCUCACACAAGCGGUGGAGCAUGUGGUUCAAUUCGAAGCAACGCGCAGAACCUUACCUGGGUUUGACAUGACUGGAUUAUCCCGGUGAAAGCCGGGUAGGCCCCGCAAGGGGUACAACAGUUACAGGUGCUGCAUGGCUGUCGUCAGCUCGUGUCGUGAGAUGUCGGGUUAAGUCCCUUAACGAGCGAAACCUUUACCCUUAGUUACCAGCGGGUUAUGCCGGGGACUCUAAGGGGACCGCCGGUGUCAAACCGGAGGAAGGUGGAGAUGACGUCAAGUCCUCAUGGCCUUUAUGCCCAGGGCCACACACGUGCUACAAUGGCGUUCAUAAAGCGACCCUAAAGCGCGAGCUCAUGGAAAUCGCAAAAUAACGCCCCAGUUCAGAUCGGAGGCUGCAACUCGCCUCCGUGAAGUUGG